AUCAACUUUCGAUGGUAGGAUAGAGGCCUACCAUGGUGGUAACGGGUAACGGGGUGUUAGGGCACGACACCGGAGAGGGAGCCUGAGAAACGGCUACCACAUCCAAGGAUGGCAGCAGGCGCGCAAAUUACCCAAUCCCGACACGGGGAGGUAGUGACAAUAAAUAACAAUACGGGGUCCUUUGGGUUUCGUAAUUGGAAUGAGUACAAUUUAAAUCUCUUAACGAGGAACAAUUGGAGGGCAAGUCUGGUGCCAGCAGCCGCGGUAAUUCCAGCUCCAAUAGCGUAUAUUAAAGUUGUUGCAGUUAAAAAGCUCGUAGUUGAAUUUCGGGAUCAGUAGGUCGGUCGUGCCACUGGUAUGAACUGGUCUCACUGGUUCCUCCCUCUUGACGAACUGCAAUGCUAUUAAUUUAGUGUAGUAGGAAAUCAGGACUGUUACUUUGAAAAAAUUAGAGUGUUUAAAGCAGGCUUUGGCUUGAAUACAUUAGCAUGGAAUAAUGAAAUAGGACGUUCGAUCCUAUUUUGUUGGCUUCUAGGAUUGACGUAAUGAUUAAUAGGGACAGUUGGGGGCAUUAGUAUUCAAUUGUCAGAGGUGAAAUUCUUGGAUUUAUUGAAGACUAACUACUGCGAAAGCAUUUGCCAAGGAUGUUUUCAUUAAUCAAGAACGAAAGUUAGGGGAUCGAAGACGAUCAGAUACCGUCGUAGUCUUAACCAUAAACUAUGCCGACUAGGGAUCGGAUGAUGUUAAUUUUUUAAUGACUCAUUCGGCGCCUUACGGGAAACCAAAGUGUUUGGGUUC
rnacentral:rRNA from 1 species